rnacentral:rRNA from 1 species
ACGAACGCUGGCGGUAUGCUUAACACAUGCAAGUCGAACGGGCAUAGCAAUAUGUCAGUGGCAAACGGGUGAGGAAUGUAGAGGAAUCUCCCCAGCAGUAAGGGAUAACCUUGGGAAACCAAGGCUAAUACCAUAUAUCACCGGUUCGGGUCAUACUGAACCGGGAAAGAUUUAUCGCUGUUGGAUGAGCCUCUAUCGGAUUAGCUAGUUGGCGGGGUAAAGGCCCACCAAGGCAACGAUCCGUAGCUGGUCUGAGAGGAUGAUCAGCCACACUGGAACUGAGACACGGUCCAGACUCCUACGGGAGGCAGCAGUGGGGAAUAUUGGACAAUGGGCGAAAGCCUGAUCCAGCAAUACCGCGUGAGUGAUGAAGGUCUUCGGAUUGUAAAGCUCUUUUAGUAGGGAAGAUAAUGACGGUACCUACAGAAAAAGCACCGGCAAACUUCGU